rnacentral:misc_RNA from 1 species
GUGAAUCAUCAAAUUUUUGAACGCAAAUUGCACUCUCCUCUAAGAGUAUGCCUAUUUGAGGUUCAGCCUAUAAAAAAUCAACAUCUUUGCUGUUUCGCGGUGGCGUUCGUCGGUAAUUUCGUCAUCUUAAAUCUUUUGGUUUUAAGCGACUUAUCAUUUUCUUUUUUAUUCCAUGAACGUUUCUAAGAUUUAUUUCCUUACACGUUUUAGGUAUCGAUUUUUAUUAGAUGUGAACAUCAUAUCGGAUCGCGCCCAUAAUCCUU